GGGCCUGUACUCCAACGGCAGAGAGACGCCGCUCAAACCGGCGACAGUGUGGGUUCGAAUCCCACCAGGCCUACCA
rnacentral:tRNA from 1 species